rnacentral:rRNA from 1 species
UACGUAGGGGGCAAGCGUUAUCCGGAAUUACUGGGUGUAUAGGGAGAGUAGGCGGCAAGGUAAGCGAUAUGUGAAAGCCUUAAGCUUAACUUAAGGAUGGCAUAACGAACUAUCUAGCUAGAGUACAGGAGAGGAAAGCGGAAUUCCUAGUGUAGCGGUGAAAUGCGUAGAUAUUAGGAAGAACACCAGUGGCGAAGGCGGCUUUCUGGACUGAAACUGACGCUGAGGCUCGAAAGCGUGGGGAGCGAACAGG